GACGAACGCUGGCGGCGUGCUUAACACAUGCAAGUCGAACGGAAAGGCCCUGCUUUUGUGGGGUGCUCGAGUGGCGAACGGGUGAGUAACACGUGAGUAACCUGCCCUUGACUUUGGGAUAACUUCAGGAAACUGGGGCUAAUACCGGAUAGGAGCUCCUGCUGCAUGGUGGGGGUUGGAAAGUUUCGGCGGUUGGGGAUGGACUCGCGGCUUAUCAGCUUGUUGGUUGGGUAGUGGCUUACCAAGGCUUUGACGGGUAGCCGGCCCGAGAGGGUGACCGGCCACAUUGGGACUGAGAUACGGACCAGACUGCUACGGGAGGCAGCAGUGGGGAAUAUUGCCCAAUGGGAGGAAGCCUGAUGAAGCAACGCCGCGUGCGGGAUGACGGCCUUCGGGUUGUAAACCGCUUUCGCCUGUGACGAAGCGUGAGUGACGGUAAUGGGUAAAGAAGCACCGGCUAACUACGUG
rnacentral:rRNA from 1 species